rnacentral:rRNA from 1 species
AACGAACGCUGGCGGCAGGCUUAACACAUGCAAGUCGAACGGGCGUAGCAAUACGUCAGUGGCAGACGGGUGAGUAACGCGUGGGAACGUACCUAUCGGUUCGGAAUAACCCGGGGAAACUCGGGCUAAUACCGGAUAUGCCAAAAAGUGAAAAGGGAAACCUGCCUGAAGAUGAGCUCGCGUCUGAUUAGCUAGUUGAUAGGGUAACGGCCUACCAAGGGUACGAUGGGUAGCUGGUCUGAGAGGAUGAUCAGCCACACUGGGACUGAGACACGGCCCAGACUCCUACGGGAGGCAGCAGUGGGGAAUAUUGCGCAAUGGGCGAAAGCCUGACGCAGCCAUGCCGCGUGAGUGAUGAAGGCCUUCGGGUCGUAAAGCUCUGUCGGGAGGGACGAAGGGUGGCAACACUCUGACGGUACCUCGCAAGAAAGCACCGGCUAACUCCGUGCCAGCCGCCGCGGUAACAC